AGUACACUAACCCCUCCCUUAUUUCUCCACGCUUCUUUUCUUUCCACCGUUCAUUCCCGCAGGAAUACACUCCACAUAAAUAAAUUUGCACACAGAAAAGAAAGAAAUUAGAGAUAACAGGGGAAGAGGAAUAGAGAGAGAGCGAGAAUGCAAAGGGAAAAAGGGGAAGGGGGGAGCAGCGCCGGUGGGCACCAUAGGCACCGCGGCUACUGUUGCUGCCUCACAGGAGAGUGAAGGAGAAGUAGAAGACGAAAAAUGAGGUAGAAAAGGGAGGAAGUGUCGUCCCUGUUGUCACCAAGCACCGCCACCGCCCAAGGGGAAAGCUCAGUCGUUAACAUCAAUUCUGCCUGGACCACCGCUGCCAAACCCUAGCCAUCACUGUCGCCACUGCACGUAAGAAGGGGGCGGCACCGCUGAUGACCGUUGAGUUGGAGCUGUCACAUACACGAGAAUUUCCGGGAAUCGUUGCUGCCAUGUUCCCAUUCCAAUUAGAGUCGCUUCUACUUUUGAUUCUAUUGAAUUUGAAAUCUUCGUUUCGUUGAGACCAUGAUCACUGCUAUGGGAACUAACUCCGCUGCUAUCUUGAUUGAAACUGUUGCAUAGCUAGUAGUGGUCCAGCCAGCUGCCUCGUCAUAAUCCCGCCUCCGGAUUCUUUUAAUCGCGACAUCGAGCAACAGGUUUGAAGACGCAAUUUGAAGCUGCGAGCGAUCAGUAGGCUUUCUU